AGAGUCUUGAUCUGUUGCCCAGGCUGGAGUGCAAUGGUGCUAUCUCUGGUCACUGCAAACUCUGGCUCCUGGGUUCAAGCAAUUCUCCUGCCUCAGCCUCCUGAGUAGCUGGGAUUACAGAUGUGCAGCACCACCCCUAGUUAAUUUUUCGAUUUUUAGUAGAGACAGGUUU